GAUAACAGCGUAAUUUUUUUUUUAGUUCAAAUAAAAAUAAAAGUUUAGCGACCUCGAUGUUGGAUUAAGAUAAAAUUUGAAUGCAAAAGUUUAAAAUUUUGAUCUGUUCGAUCAUUAUCUUACAUGAUCUGAGUUCAAACCGGUGUGAGCCAGGUU
rnacentral:ncRNA from 1 species